UUCCAGGUCAACGAUUUUAUGAAGAGAUUUGGAAAGAAUCCAAUUGGUAUUUCCUGUGCUGGAUUCUUUUACGCUAAGAGAAAUUUUAUCAUAAGAGUACUAAGUGCAUUAUAUUCCUUUUUUUCUUCUAUUGUUCAAAUCUCUGGUGUAUUGCAACGUGAAAACAAAUGUCUUGCGAAGUACGGAAACAGCACAAGAGCCACACCCAAUGCAACUAUCAUAAAUUAAGUUAAUCGAUUGAUUAGGAAAUGAGGAACCUUUCAUUAAAUUAUAAUUUCCAGGAAGUUCGAAGAUAGAAAAGUAAGAAGUGAAGUUACAAACGUAGCAUUAAGGAUAGUAUAAGUUUAAUGGAAUGUGGCAAUGCAGCAUGUGAUCUGUCAAGGGUAGGGUGUUCUACGGGAAACUGGUCAUCAUUUACGUAUUAGACACAUGAAAAAAAGAAAAAUCAAGUAAACUCCUAAACGUUUGAUGGCAAGCCGUAACUUGGAGUGCAACUUUCUAUUAUUCAAGGUCCGUUUUCCCUAUAAAAUGUCGAUAUUCUUAAAUACUACAAUAGCAGCGUAGUAGAGACGGGCAAUCCAGUUGCACAUCUAGAACUGAAAUUGAACUGUUCCGAGUGGGGAACAAUUCCGAAACUCAAAACUACUUAGGACAUGUUUUAUGAAAUGAAACCAGCGAAUACAAAACAAUAUUUCUUUAUGUGUAAAUAGCUGAAGUGAAACAUGAAAUCAUUUUACUGUCAAUGUGGUGUAACAAAUAAAAUGAUAUUUCUGAUCGUCUUUCAAUAUAUGUAUAUUUAUUUAUAACGAGCAGUUAUUUAUUGUGGCAUUGUCACAAUGUCGGGCUGUAAUUUUUCCAUCUAGCAUCAAAUAUAUG